GUUGUAGUCGUUGACUUUCAGUGGACAGAAAAAAAACCGAUUUUUUGAAUAAAUAAAAUAUCAAUGCCAUUUUGUACGGAAUUUUCCUGAAUUUCCUCUUCUGUGUCUCUGAUUUUCUGAAGAUGGGUAAUAGAUUUAUCUGUAUGAAGAAGAAAGAUGUUAUCGUCAGAACUAGUGGAGGAGAUGGAUCUAGAAGCAAGAGACUAAACCGUUCUCAAAGAAAAUCGAUUGGUGAUGAAGAGAUGUUGCAUCGACGAGCUUUGUCUCUGGCAAUUCAUCAAGCUCAGCUUUCUCAGAGAUUCGAUGGAUCCAUGUCUAGACGGGUC
rnacentral:lncRNA from 1 species